rnacentral:tRNA from 1 species
UAGCUCAGUUGGUGGAGCGCAACCUUGCCAAGGUUGAGGUCGCGGGUUCGACCCCC